rnacentral:rRNA from 1 species
UACGGAGGGUGCAAGCGUUAUCCGGAUUCACUGGGUUUAAAGGGUGCGUAGGUGGGCAGGUAAGUCAGUGGUGACAUCUCCGGGCUUAACCCGGAAACUGCCAUUGAUACUAUCUGUCUUGAAUACCGUGGAGGUGAGCGGAAUAUGUCAUGUAGCGGUGAAAUGCUUAGAUAUGACAUAGAACACCAAUUGCGAAGGCAGCUCACUACACGAAUAUUGACACUGAGGCACGAAAGCGUGGGGAUCAAACAGG